CGUACACUCAACCAACUGAGUUGAGUGAGCCACCCAGGCACCCCAAAAUUCACUAAUUUUGAGCUUACAUUUCAAGUGACUCUCCCAAAACGAAAAUAGUGUAUGAUUCAAGAGAAUGAUAGUGUCACAGACCUAUAGGUCAUAGAGCUGCUGUUUGGGAGAAGAGGGGUACCGAUUGACCACAUAUAUGCUUGGUUUACUGCUUCAAAGUAAUCUUCUGGUUUCUGUUUGGAAGGCAGGUGUUGUGAUAUGAAGAAAAUGGGCUCCUGAGUUAUGUAGAGGUGAGUUUGUACCAUUGUUCUGGGGAAGUGGCAACUUCCCAGAGGAGUGACUUGUAUAAAUUCUUUUGAGUUUCAGAACCUUAGUUUUCUCUUUUGGAAACAGGUGUAAUAACAAUUACCGCAGAAGACUGAUGGGGAGAUUACACAGUAUAGGCAAUCAGCUAGCACAGUGAUUCCAUGAAAGGAUCAGUUCCCUUCUCUUCUGCCUUCUCCACAAAGCCAGGAGUAGGUGUAACAGUUGCUCAGUACACCCUCAUUGUUUCAGUCACCAUUUGCUUGUUUCAAUUUAGUUGGUAGAAGAGUCUAAAACACUUUAUCAAGGAUUUUCCAAUCUUGCUUUUUAAAUCUUGGCAUUUGAAAUAAGAGCAAACUUUGUAACUAGAGCACAUUGGAGUAAUUCAACUGCCAACGUAAUUGUAUACUCACUGCUUACAGAAGUUACUUACAGAAAUGUGAACUUCCCCAUGUACACAAAGCAACGAGUAAGACUUAAUCAUAAAAUGAGAACCUUGACUAUGAGUUUUUGGACUGGAAAAACAUAAUUAUUUGGAAAGUUCAGUCAUAUUAAUUUUUUCAAAUAAUACAAUGCAUAUUUCCUUAAUCCAGAAAAAAAGGGUUUGACUAAUUUAAUAAGGCAGGCAUCCAGCAAUUCAAAGAACAAAUAUCUUCUUGAAGCUUCAAGAAACUCUCCAUAUGGAAUGUGCUAUUGAUGGCAUUGUUUUCAAACAGUUUCCUUUUCCUCCUUAGUCUGAUAUGAAAGCCCAGGGAGCUACAGGGAGAAAGAGUACUACUAUUCUAUUUUUAAAUGUCUUCGGUAAGACCAUAGAAAAGUUUCCUGUUAGCCUCAGGCAUUCUGAAGCCUUGGUUGACACUUAAAGGCUGCUUGCUUCCAAGGGUGGAUUGGAUCAGAUGGAAAGGCCUUUAUAUACUACUAAGAAACCAGCAAGGAGAUACAGAAAGCUAUAGUCUGGGCAGAGACCAUUGGUUAAAAGAUGCAUUAUCAGCUGAAUAAAUGUAAAGCAGCUUGGUUUCUUCAAGCCAUGGUUUAACAACUGCUUGAAAUGUUGCUGUCAUAACGAAAAACAAACAACCAACAAAUUUAAAAACCACAAAUUCAGUUUUGAUUUUUUGGAAAUUUGUGUUUAAAUCAUGUUUGGACUGAAGUUUGCCAUUUGUUUAGAAAAUUCUCUUUCAAAACUGCUAACCAGAUUGUGCUGUGAUUCUAAUGGAGUGCCUUAAAAUAUUCAAGGAUAUUAACCUCUUCAAGAAUCCAUACAUACUUUAAAAUAUCUCAUUCAUUGGAGGCUGUUAGGCUUAUAAUAACCAUGGCAUUCAAUUUCAUCUCUUCAUUUAAUGUAAAUUUUUGAGAUUUAAAUUAUUUUUAAAAAGAGGCAGGUUAUCAUGAAUAAAUCAGUAAGCAGUAGGUCCCUACAGCUGACAUUGUUAAUUCCCUACCCACAUGUUCAUGGCAAUAAUGCUUCCUUGCAUGCCUUCCAAAUUUCCACUUGCCAGCACCUGUGACUCUACCUGGGCGUUCUCUCUGGCUGUUGGAGCCUGCUGUGGCUACCCAUUGAGCAAGCCAGAACUGCUCAUAUAUUCACCACUCCCCUUCAGAUGAAUAGUAAAUAUCCCAAAUCCUUCCCCCAAGGGUUGGGAUAACACUGAGACCCAUGUUCUAAAAGAUUUUACAGUUCUAAAAAUGAAUUAAACUCCAGCUGUCCACUGUAGUGACUUGCUUGACAAAUUUCAUUGGUCCUUUUCUUUCCUGUCCCAUCUCUCCGCACCCACACCACAUCCAAAUCACCCACUCUCCAUACUCCACACCCACAUCACCUUCACAAUAAACCAUUGCACUCAUGGUCUUUAUUGGGCAUACCUGUACCUUUUGAUUUUAAGCUGUGCAUUCUCUGGAGUCUUCUAUUAGAAUUCAUGUGUUCCUGGGAGACUAACCCCCUAAAGACUUGGUGUUAGUUAUCAAAGUGUAAGGUGAUAUGCUGUCAAACAGGGCACUUCUGAAGACAGACAAGUCAAGAAGGAGGGUUAUCUUCAGCAGACUGCUUUCCUCUUUUCACAACUGCCAUGAGAAGGCCAGCAGAGAUGUCAAUAAACCCCACCUCAUUAAACUUGGGAAGGGAUCUCGGAGGGGGCAUCUCUACUUUCAGCCUCAGGGGGGGUUGCUUGUAAUACAUUUAAUGAUUGUAAUGCAUUUAAUGAUUCCUCAGUAGAGAAUCUGGCUCUGUGUGAAUCUGCAAAGCAGUCCCAAGCCUACUAGCUGUAAUACAGAAUAUUUUGUGCUCAAUGAUAAGUAAAAAUUCUGCUUAAAGCUAACUUGCAAUUAUGGCUAUAUAAAUAAUGGCACACAUAUUUUUCUGUUGUGGCAGGAUUUGAAGACUUGCUUAGUGCCUAAGACAUGAUGUAUUUGAAGGGAGAACACAAACACAUGACAAUAUGCCUGUCUCUGUCUAGUAGUCAUGUUUUUGGUGGGGUUAUAACCAAAAUAGAGUGGGGAAGGAGGCCGUGCAAAAAUGCACGUUGUCUGUUGUGUGGUGAGGGCAAGGCAAAAGGUCUGUUGGUGGUAGAACACGGUGUUGAUGAGGCCAGGAGGUCAGUCUCUACUUGGAUGAGUGAAGUUCAUACUAGGGAAGGGGAAAAAAGAAAACAGUUCUGAAAUAUUUGAUAGGGACUGUGAUUCCAGAUUCUUGUAUGGUACCAUGUAAAUAAUCUCUUGCUCCAGCUUCAUAGGAGAAUAUGAAGCUCUUGGAAGGACACCUUACUUUUCAGUAAUGCUGUGGGGAUGCCUGCCCACCUCAUCCCCAACUGUAAGGAUAAACUUGAACUCUUGUAGGUGGGUGUCUUAGUUGUUGAAGUUUCCAUAACAACAUACCACAGGCACGUGGCUUAAACAGCAGACAUUUAUUUUCUCACAUUCUGGAAGCCAAAAGUCCAACAUCAAGGUGCCCUCAGGGGUGGUUUUUGGUGAGCGCUCUUUUCUCAGCUUGCCGGUGACCUUCAAGCUGUGUCCUCAAAAGGCCUUCCCUCUGUGUGUGUGCAAGAGACAGAUCUCUGGUGUCUCUUCUUAGAGAGGGAGGAUUAGGGCUUGAAUAUAGGAAUUUUGGGUGGAUGCAGUUUAACUGAAAACAGUGGGAGUUCUCAACUGGAAGCUAGCAGGUCUGAAAUAAGUUCUCUUCCUCUUUCCUGCACCUUCCUUGGAGUAAUGGGGCUGUGCAGACACUCUGGGCACUCUGUAGUCUAGAGGCUAGAGGAAAGGGAUCUUCACCUAGUGAAUAUCUGCUCUGUGGAGGGCUAUUUGGUAUAACAUUUUAAUUACCAUACGAACCAAAUCUUGCAUUACAGGUAAUUUGUUAUUUUCUGUACUAGGAAAUUGAAGCUCAGAAAAGUUAGCUAGUACAUGACCCGGAUCCAAACACAAAGCUUUUGUUUUUUCUACUCUAUUACUGUGAUUCCUCUCACUGAGGGAUUUCCUCAACAGUUGAUUACAGAUUCAACCUUCUGUAUUCUUCCCUGGUAUUCAGCUGUUAUCAGUUGUUAAAACUUAAUGGUGAAGCUUCCAGGCAGAGACAUAUAGUUAGGGAGUUAUAGGUUAUUAAAGGUUAUUUUUUCCAUUGGAGAUUAAUUAUGCAUAAAUAAAGGAAAGCAUUUUGAAAUUGUCAUAUAAAUCAAUGAAAAUAGCAUUUAAUUAAUAAAUACCUUUAAAAAAUGUUUAUUUUUGAGAGAGAGUGAGAGAGAGAGCAUGCACAUGUGUAAGCAGGGGAAGGGCAGAAAGUGAGGGAGAGAGAAUCCUAAGCAAUCUCCACUGAAUUAUUGUGUAUCUAAGCUUUAGCCUCUGAGGUGAUGUGAAACCAUUUUUAGCCCUUUGCAGGCAUUUUCUCUGCUCUGGUAGGUACUUCAGUGUCUAUGUAAAACCUCUAAUGAUAGAUUAUUUACAUUCUAAUUAUGCUCACCUGGGAAUAUGGAGGAAGCCUUAGUACAAGUACAGGUAAUCUCCCAAAUAGAAGUUUCCUGGAUUGGUUGUAGAGUUUGUUUUCUUUCCUCUAAGGGAUGUGCUAAUUUCAUUUCAUUUUUUUCUUUUAUAUAUGUGGUCUUGUUCACAUGGUCUUUAAGAUGAUGGUCACAUGCAUCUUCACAAAGUAUUCAUAGGCCUGCUACUCUUUCCUGUUACACUUCAUAAAACACCUUCUUUGGGUGUAUUUAAGUUCUAAGUUGGUGGUUGAUGUCUGCUAACCAUUCACACAUAAGCACAAACAUGUGCACACACGAGGACAUACAGGAAGUAUAACAUUGGUCCAUUUCAUAGUUCACAGUGUAAGCGAUGCUGUUAUCAUAACAAUGCCUUUUACUAUAAGCUUACCAACUAAGAAGCUAGCCUUCAUUCUUAGGAAGAUGUUGAUGUGAGCUGCCAUAGCAGUCACUAACUUGUGGUUCUUUACACCCAAAGAACAACAGAAGUUUACUUCAAGAUGGAAACCCUAUAAUUACAUCUUUUUUUUUUCCUUCUGGUUACCAAACAAUCCCCUAUUUCUUCAACUGCUGCUUCUAUUGCAUGGUUUCCAAACUCCUUUCUAUUGUGUCUGCUUUUCUGGUUUUAUUGUUUACCGACUUAUCUUCUCAAAAAUGGCUUUGACGUGUGGCCCUCAGAAUCCUUGGGUGAUCACUGAGUACAGUGGUAAUUUGCCACCUGUGAUUAAAAUAUUACACUUCUGAUAUAGACUAAGAUUGCACAAACUAUAAAAUAUCAGUGUCACAUAAUUGGUUGAUACUGGGCCUGCAGUCAACCAGAAAUUUUCACUUGAAUGCUGGCUAAGCCAGGUGUUGGCUGUUAUCUUGAAUGGGCUUAGCAUGCUUAUAAAAGCAGUGAGAGCGUGCUUUCUCGCCCCUUUUCCCCUUUGUGAGGUUACGGUCAAGAGAGAGUAUCUGCUGGUGCCUUAAUCUUGGACUUCCCAGCCUCUGAAAUGAUCAAUGCCCUGAGCUCCCUGGAGCCCAAGGACUGGCGUGGAGUGUGAUCUUGAUGUCAGUAUCAAUAACUAGAGCGCAUAAGCUCACAUCCGGGCGUACAUUUCCCUCCAUUCUCCAUAUGAAAUGAUGGACAGAGAACAGCAUUAAGGAUAAAUCAAGGACUUUUGUAACAACAUCCAGAACUUUCUAUAAGGGACCUCAGAAUUGCCUACCCAGAUGAUCUUAUCUACUUCGUGGGCCUCAUCUCUAGAUCUACUCUCCCAUUGGAAGUCUUCCCUUCACCAUUAUUUGCAUGCUUGUUAACACACAUCCUGUAGGACAAGCAAGGACAAGAAGAGACAUGCAAACUUAAAUGAAACCAUCCAGGUACAGUUGUAAAGGCUGAACAGCCUGAGUAUACACAGCCUGAGUGAGGCCUGCAUGUGAAAUGAAUAAUGGGGAUCCUAAUGAAUCACCGGAUUGAUUUUCUAAAUGAUCUUCAGAAGUCUUGCUUAUACUCAUCCCCAUUAUUUGGAGUUGUGAGAUUAUAUCCCCAGGAAUCAUUAUUAAAUCCAUAUUAAAAUUUUUGGCAUUAAGUA